GGGGCCGUAGUCUAGCUUGGAAGGAUGCCAGCCUGGGGCCCGUGCGGCAAGGUCCCGGGUUCAAAUCCCGGCGGCCCCACCA
rnacentral:tRNA from 1 species